rnacentral:tRNA from 4 species
AUUCUUUUAAAACGUAUUGGGACGUAAAUAACUUUCUUUU